CAGGCCUAACACAUGCAAGUCGAGCGGAAACGAUCCUAGCUUGCUAGGAGGCGUCGAGCGGCGGACGGGUGAGUAACACGUGAGAAUCUGCCCAUUAGAGGGGGAUAACCUGGGGAAACCCAGGCUAAUACCGCAUAAUCCCUACGGGGGAUAGCAGGGGAUCUUCGGACCUUGUGCUGAUGGAUGAGCUCGCGUCGGAUUAGCUUGUUGGUGAGGUAAUGGCUCACCAAGGCGACGAUCCGUAGCUGGUCUUAGAGGAUGAUCAGCCACACCGGGACUGAGACACGGCCCGGACUCCUACGGGAGGCAGCAGUGGGGAAUCUUGGACAAUGGGGGCAACCCUGAUCCAGCCAUGCCGCGUGUGUGAAGAAGGCCUUCGGGUUGUAAAGCACUUUCAGUAGGGAGGAAGGCUUAUCCUUAAUACGGAUGAGUACUUGACGUUACCUACAGAAGAAGCACC
rnacentral:rRNA from 1 species